rnacentral:rRNA from 1 species
GCGUAAUAGCUCACUGGUCGAGUCGGCCUGCGCGGAAGAUGUAACGGGGCUAAACCAUGCACCGAAGCUGCGGCAGCGACACUCAGGUGUUGUUGGGUAGGGGAGCGUUCUGUAAGCCUGUGAAGGUGGCCUGUGAGGGUUGCUGGAGGUAUCAGAAGUGCGAAUGCUGACAUAAGUAACGAUAAAGCGGGUGAAAAGCC